AUUGAACGCUGGCGGCAUGCUUUACACAUGCAAGUCGAACGGCAGCGCGGGCUUCGGCCUGGCGGCGAGUGGCGAACGGGUGAGUAAUGCAUCGGAACGUGCCCAGUAGUGGGGGAUAGCCCGGCGAAAGCCGGAUUAAUACCGCAUACGACCUGAGGGUGAAAGCGGGGGACCGAAAGGCCUCGCGCUAUUGGAGCGGCCGAUGUCGGAUUAGCUAGUUGGUGGGGUAAAGGCUUACCAAGGCGACGAUCCGUAGCUGGUCUCAGAGGACGACCAGCCACACUGGGACUGAGACACGGCCCAGACUCCUACGGGAGGCAGCAGUGGGGAAUUUUGGACAAUGGGGGCAACCCUGAUCCAGCCAUGCCGCGUGCGGGAAGAAGGCCUUCGGGUUGUAAACCGCUUUUGUUCGGGAAGAAAUCCUCUGGGCUAAUACCCCGGGGGGAUGACGGUACCGGAAGAAUAAGCACCGGCUAACUACGUG
rnacentral:rRNA from 1 species